UACGAAGGGGGCUAGCGUUGUUCGGAAUUACUGGGCGUAAAGCGCACGUAGGCGGAAUGUUAAGUCAGGGGUGAAAUCCCGGGGCUCAACCCCGGAACUGCCUUUGAUACUGGCAUUCUCGAGUCCGGAAGAGGUGAGUGGAAUUCCGAGUGUAGAGGUGAAAUUCGUAGAUAUUCGGAGGAACACCAGUGGCGAAGGCGACUCGCUGGACAAGUAUUGACGCUGAGGUGCGAAAGCGUGGGGAGCAAACAGG
rnacentral:rRNA from 1 species